AAGGUCUCGCAUGUUGUUUCUUCCCUUGCAGAGACGAAGACCUCUCCAAUUCCGUCCUCCAAAGCACCGCAGAAGGCCGAGCCUCCAGUGGGCAGAGCUGCCAGGGUCGUCACAUUUUUCUCCCCUUUGCUGUUAGGGAUGAUGCUGUUGUUCAUUUGAUGUUUCAAUCCCAUGGAGUGACAACAGGUGGGAGGAAGAACAAGUUAAAGAGACGGAGGCUGGUGUUUUUUUUUUUUGUUUUUUUUUUUCUAUUUUGCACAUGUUUUUGAGGAAACAGUGCGUUGAUCAUUUCUGUCCAUCACACAGUUGCCCACCAAAAUUACUUAAGAGGGGAAAUCAGACAGCCCUUGUUGACUGACGGGGACAAAAUAAUUCUUCAGAGGAACUCUUGCAAACGGCAUCGUCAACGACGAGAGCAACAGCAGAGGCAGCAGAGCAACCAUGACAGCGACAGCAGCAGCGACAUCAAAGUGAUUAAUGUUACGCCCCUGUGGCUCCGAUGAGCCGCAGCAGACUGAUUUGUUGCUUUGUUUGGUUCAGGAAGCUCCUUCUCUGAGGAAGAAAACCAACUCAUUGUUAUUUUUUUAUUCAUUAAUUGACUUUUUCCCCCCCUUUCUUUGAAACGGCAGAGCACUUCACAGACAAACGCACGACUUAAAGAAGUAGUGCCUUUGUGUGUGAGGCCACUGUAGCGCCCCCACAUGCAGCUCAAUCAUCACGCCAAAGACUCAUAAGCACCCUAACAAAGUGGCUCCAAAUUUUUUUUUUUUAUUCUUUUUUUUCACUAAGCUUCCUGAAGCCUGUGCCUGUACUCGGAAAGUAUGUACAAAUGCAAGUGGAGUAGUGAUGCUGAAAAGUGCUAUAUGUAUCAAACCCGAGGAUCCCUGCAGCUCCUGUUUGUGUACACACACACUCUCACACACUCACACACACACACACACACACACACACACACCGUUUAACGAAGACGCCACAGUAAGCCUCCAUCAGACUGUGCUCCGCACACCUUCGACGACGACGACUGAAUCAAACCGAUGGAGAGAGCCGUUUUUUCCAUGUGGAGAAUAACACUUUGAAGAGUUCAGUAACGGUAGCUUGACUUAUUUAGACAGUUAGCUUUACAUUGUGCUUACAGCGACUGGUAAGAAGGACCUGGAUUGUAAAAAAAUGAAAAAAAUAAAUAAAAAAAUAACAUAUAUAUAAAAUAAGGUAAAUAAAAAAAUAAAAAAUAUAAAAAAAUGAUAAAAAAAUAAAUAAAGUGGUUUUCAGAUGUCGCAAAUGCAAAUUUCUUGUUUCUUCAGGAAUUUGCUUUUGGUUUGAUUUUGUUUCGGCAGCAGCAUUGGAUUUUGGGUCAGUGACACGAGCUACAGUAUGUCGGUUUCUUUUUUUUUAUCGCUCUAUGCCGUAAAAUACAGUAACAUGAAUCUGUUUGCUUUCCAAAGUCUGACGCUUUUACAAACUUUUUUUUCAGUUUAUAUUUUAAUAGUCAAUAUCAGCAGGUACCAUUAUGUUAUUCAAAUUAUUGACGUGUUUAUUGUAAUUUUGGGAUCUUACGGACAAAUAAUUAAAAAAAAAAGAUGCAUAUAGGGCUUAAGUUUUUUUGUUUGAUUUUUCUUUUUUCAGACAUUCAUAAUGGCUUAAUUUCUUGAUUCUAUUUUGUAAACUAUGAUAUGUAACUUUAACAAUGAACAAAGUUUAUUAUUUAAUAUUAUUAAUAAUAAUAAUGUAUGUAUUAGCGUUAGAAUGUCGUAACCUGUACCUGGGGUCUUUUUUAUAGCUGUAUAUACAAUUACAGGUUUCAACCAUUAAAUGUGACCAUUUCACAAUGAAUUCUGA